AAGAUUGUUUGUCAUCAAGAAGUGUUGGACUGAAGAUUGUUUGUCUUCAAGAAGUGUUGGACUGAAGAUUGUUUGUCAUCAAGAAGUGUUGGACUGAAGAUUGUUUGUCAUCAAGUUGUGUUUGACUCAAGAUUGUUUGUCAUCAAGAAGUGUUGGACUGAAGAUUGUUUGUCAUCAAGUUGUGUUGGACUGAAGAUUGUUUGUCAUCAAGAAGUGUUGGACUGAAGAUUGUUUGUCUUCAAGUUGUGUUGGACUGAAGAUUGUUUGUCAUCAAGAAGUGUUGGACUGAAGAUUGUUUGUCAUCAAGUUGUGUUGGACUGAAGAUUGUUUGUCAUCAAGUAGUGUUGGACUGAAGAUUGUUUGUCAUCAAGUAGUGUUAGACUGAAGAAGCGGAGUUCUCUUUCUGAUGGCCAGCUAAGGAAAAGAAGCAUCUAGUCCAAGGACGGCUUUUGGAAGAUUCCAGCCAGGAAGCUGAGCACACCUGCUCUGUCCGGGCAGGCUGUUGAGCGCACCGCGGGCCACACCAACAGGCGUUCCCUCUCCGCUACGGGCGUCCCUCCGCAAGAGAUCUGCAAUCAACACACCUGCCCGUGAUGAGCGACCAGCCUUCUUCAUAAACCAGGGCGUCUUGAGAUCCAGUGCCAGAACGUAGCUUCUCCUACCAGUACACUUCCUCGUCGUCGAACUCUGGGUCUCGUCUACCUGGACUCCCUUUGGAUUCCCUCUUGCCUUCCUGGACUAAGACCUCGCACUUGUCCUCGACCAUCCACCUGCCCUCGGACGUUUGAGCCUGCUUUUCACCUUUUGGACUACCGCCUCGAUCUCAACAGGAGAAAAGCUGAGCUUGUGUCGUCCAUGAAGCUGUCGUCGACUCCCCUGAGACAUUGGCGUCAACACACCUGUGGACACACCCCUCUGACUAUCAGAGCAAGCGUCUCCUCAUCCGUGGCUCACUAGUGCAACAACAACACCCGAAAUGUGCCCUGUGAAAAACCGUCCGACCGGAACUCUCGAAUAACUAAAAUUCUAAAUGGCAACAGUGGAGGAUGAAUGUCACAUAACAAGAAGAUAUGAAAAAGAAGAAGAUUAUCGACUAUGGAAUCGUCGCGGACUACAAAGGCGGACACGCACAAUUUUUCAGGACUUAUGCAGAUCCAAAAACAGAUCAGCAGGU